rnacentral:rRNA from 1 species
ACGGAGGGUGCGAGCGUUAAUCGGAAUUACUGGGCGUAAAGCGUACGUAGGCGGCUAUUUAAGUGGGAUGUGAAAGCCCUGGGCUCAACCUAGGAACUGCACCCCAAACUGGGUAGCUAGAGUACGGCAGAGGAGUGCGGAAUUUCCUGUGUAGCGGUGAAAUGCGUAGAUAUAGGAAGGAACACCAGUGGCGAAGGCGACACUCUGGGCUGAUACUGACGCUGAGGUACGAAAGCGUGGGGAGCAAACAGG